CCCGCCCUGUCGCCAGCCCUCCUCCACCCCGUCGCCGGCCCUUCCCCUCGUCCACGGCCCGUCCCGUCGAGGUCCAGGUCCGCGACGGAUCCGCCUAUGCCAGUGUCUUCCACACCACCUCCCUCGAUGCUGGAUACGCGUUGGACAUGCAUAUAAGAAGAGGAUGAAGUCAAUAAUUAUGAGCUGAAGGUCAGAUAUAGUUGAUCUGUCAAGAUGUGGAAAGCAUAGCCACACUGGCCAUCUUUCUUAUAGACCGACCAGUUGCGCCUCCCCGCCGGUCGCCGCCUGCCACCCCAAGGAUCAAGGCCGGCCGCGCCAGUCCCCGUCGGUCACUGCUCCGGAUCCAGGCCGCCCACCGCCCCGCCCCCAUUAGCCCGGUCUAUUUCCCACCGGAUCCCAUCUUCGCCGCCGUCCGAUGCGCCUUCUUCAAGGAGCUGCGACCCCAUGUCUUAGAGGAGCUAGCCCCGAUGCCAUUGAUGCUCGAGCGAUGCUCCCAAGCUAGGAGCGGCACCAGGACGACCACGUCCCCGAAGCCUAAACUGCAAGGUGAGCUCGUCCCCUUCUCUUCUUCCCUAUGGAUCAGUGUCCUGGCUCAUGUUCUCUGUUCUAUACAUGUGUGCAGUUUAUUUUCAGAGUACUUGUUGUGUGCAGAAUCCUACCCUGGCGCAUGUUAUUGGUUGUUUAAUUCUGGAAUCACAAGUUAAUGCAUUUUGCUAUGUGGGUACUGCAAUCUUAUAUGGGCAACAAGUUCAAUAUGGUUUUUAGAAAAGGAAAGUCCAAUCUGGUUUUUAGAAAAGGCAAGUCCAAUCUGGCCACGUAGCUAGGCAAAUACAAUUUGCAAUUCCUGCCUUGCCGUGACAAGCUUGAUUUGGUAUGGUAGAAAAAUAGAACUCCUAAUAUCUCACCCUCCCCUGAGGAUUCUGUGCCACUCCACGCCGGCAAGGCUUAUAGCUACUCUUUCAGCUCAUGUUCUGCUAUGUCUAAAUGUAUAUGGAAAUUUUCUCUCCCCCUGUACCUUAAAGAGCAUAUUGGGCCAGGGAUUCGUUUGAACAGGCUGUGAUUGGGUAUUGACGUUAUUCAUAUUUUCUAAAAGCCGGCAGUUCUGUCCUAUAAUUUGUACUGCAUAUAAUUAAGUUAGGCUUGAGCAACAGUUUUUCCAUAUUUACAAUUUAAUUAGGUGUAUGCAAAAAUAUGAAAUGGUGUUAUUAAGGCAGAGGAACCGUAUGUAGGACAUAUUUGUGAUAAGAAAAAUCAAACAUAUUUUAGCUCCGAAAUGACUUCAUAUGCUUAGCUAGCUCUAAAAUGACAUAAUAAACUUAUUAGUUCCAAAAUGACCUUACUUAGUAUUUUUUACACCAAAAUGACUUAGUAUGCUUAGUUAGCUAAAAAAUGACAUAAUAACCAUACUUAGCUCCAAAAUGACCUAUUUUACAGAUAUAAGUUGCAUCAUAAU